CUGAAGGGUUUGAUCCUGGCUCAGAAUGAACGUUGGCGGCGUGGAUUAGGCAUGCAAGUCGAGCGAGAAUUUUAUUGUUGAAGCUUCGGCGGAUUCAAUAAGAGGAAAGCGGCAAACGGCGUAGUAAUGCGUAGGUACGUACCCUCAGGUUGGGAAUAGCCAUGGGAAACUGUGGGUAAUGCCCAAUAACAUCUGCGGAUCAAAGGUGUGAUUCCGCCUGAGGAGCGGCUUACGUGAUAUUAGCUUGUUGGUGGGGUAAUGGCCUACCAAGGCAACGAUGUCUAGGGGGUGUGAGAGCAUGGCCCCCACGACCGGAACUGAGACACUGUCCGGACACCUACGGGUGGCUGCAGUCGAGAAUCUUCCGCAAUGGGCGAAAGCCUGACGGAGCGACGCCGCGUGCGGGAUGAAGGCCCUUGGGUUGUAAACCGCUGUCAGAGGGGAUGAAAUCAUGGUUGGCUAUCCUUCCAUGUUGACAGAGCCUCAAAGGAAGCACGGGCUAAGUACGUGCCAGCAGCCGCGGUAACACGUACUGUGCGAACGUUAUUCGGAAUCACUGGGCUUAAAGGGUACGUAGGCGGUUUAUCAAGUCAGGUGUGAAAUGCCUGAGCUCAACUGAGGCACUGCGCUUGAAACUGCUAAACUAGAGUAUUCCAGGGGUGUGCGGAACUGCCAGU
rnacentral:rRNA from 1 species